rnacentral:lncRNA from 1 species
AAACUGAUCCUAGAAUUAUUUUUAUAAGUGAAAGAAAAUUAGUUAUAUAUUUCUAACAAUAUUCUUUUGAUUUAUAAAGUGCAACCAAAAAUGUACAUUUUACUUUGAAUGUUAAUAACUAAAGCAGAUUACUUAUCAACUAAAUGGAACACAAAUAGGUUGCACAAGCUCAAAAAACAAUUUUUUGGGAGUGAGAAAAGAACAAGAAAUUUGAUGGGACUACGUUAUGAGCAGGACAGUAUUAUAUUACAAAAUAAUUUUAAAUCGGCUAAGUUUUAGGAUAAUGUAUAUUACAAUUUAUUUCCCAAAAUUUAUUUAGUAAUUCACAAUUAUUUUGUUUUUACAUGACAGGAUCCAUAGUGAAGUCAAUCACUCAAACCAAUCACCUCCAGCUUCAACCACAGCCUCCAAUCCGGGCUUACACCUGGCACAGGCAUUGAUGAAGAACUCAUUUUCCAUGUUGGCCCACAAUGAGUCAACUGUGUUAUGUGCAUGUAAAUUGGACUUUCUCUCAAAGCCACAUUGUAGUCUUAGGGGCUCAGAUUUAGGAGCCCACAUUUCCUUUGCCCAAAAUAUAAAGCAAAAGGAACUAUUGACAAUGUCCAUCCAAUAUUUGAAGAAAACCCAAAAACCAAUCAAGUUUAUGGUUGCAAAAUUUCGACAUUCUCUAAGUCUUAAGUACAGGACCGAAUCAAACGAAAGAAGAGUUCCAUUAAGUAAUUUUUGCUAAAUGGUGUCAUCAUAGAUAUCAUCAUCAGUCGGACCGACAAGUUGCACUGGACUGGACUGAGGUCCUGUAUAACAACCCACACAACACUAAUUCUCACCAAUGGUCCAACAAUUUAGUAUUCUACAGUUGUUAAAUUUUCAGAGCAUUGCUGUAUUUAAUUCAAGCUGAGCUAUAGAAGUAGAUUUAAGCAAGGAUUAUAAUAUAAUAUUAGA